GCUUGUUGGUUUUUCGUGAAAACGGAAAGGGGAGGGAUGAAACUAGGGUACAGCGGUGACGAACGAAGGCACCGCACUCCCGAUGCGCAUGCGUUUUUGGCCCUGGGGGGUUUAUUUUCCUUUACCGUCCUCUUCGCCGGCGCCAUUUUAUGCGCCGCUCAGUCACGUCUUAAACCUGAGGGGAAGGGAGGGGGCCGGAAAAAGAAGGCAAGACUGCUGCGUGGAAGCUGCCUAGCUCUGCGGCCACGAAGCCUCUUUGAGAGUCGGCACGGUGAGCUUCGGUAAGGGAGGCCCUGGGAAUUUCGCUUUUAGGCGGAAAACAGCCGACUUCCGCGAUGGCAGCAACGAGGGAGGAGGCAAAGAUUGUGACGACCGUUACAGAGGAAACUGAAUCGCAAGGAAGACUCUUUCUUGGUGUGAUGUUCCCAAUAGGAGAUAUCAAAGAAUCAGCAAAAGAAAUACCAUAAUACUAACAAAGUGGCAAAGAAUUGAUGAGGGACAGGCCAGAAGGAAAAAGACACUUGCCCUACCCAAGAAAUUCAAAUAUAAACCUUGAUCAUGCCUGCAUGAUACAAUCAUAGCCAAUUACCAACUAUUCUUCCCUGUACAGUGCUGCAAAUGUUUUAAGCCCACAGCCACAAAAGGAUUAUCCAUCCAUGGAUAGAACAAUAAUUAGAUUCUGGGAUAUUUCACUAUGAAA